ensembl:lincRNA
ACCGAACAGCUCAACAGAGACAACACGCAGAAGAUAUCUAUCUAAGCCCGGACAGAAGCCUUUGAACAGCUGGAUUCGUGCUCAAUGAUUCUCAUGGUUCCGUGGUGGUGCUGAGUCCAGAUGGGAAAGCAGAAAUGCUGUGCAUGGGAGGCAGCUUUGGCAUUUCACAUACCAUGGACAGAGAAUACAUGGAGGGAGUCACGAGGGUGAGUUUGUCUGCAUUGCCCAGCAAUGAACCAAGUAGAAAAGAACAUGCAAAGAGUGGAGGAAGAAGGAGAGAUUGUAAUGGUGAAGGAGCACUGAGAACUUGAUCGGACUGGAACAGGGAAGAGCUACAUCGUCAUCAAGGCAGUGCACUAUUUGAAAAACAAGGAAACUGGAAGACUUUGCUCAGAGGAAGGUACCCAGGAGCUG